rnacentral:rRNA from 1 species
GAUGAACGCUGGCGGCGUGCCUAAUACAUGCAAGUCGAGCGAACGGACGAGAAGCUUGCUUCUCUGAUGUUAGCGGCGGACGGGUGAGUAACACGUGGAUAACCUACCUAUAAGACUGGGAUAACUUCGGGAAACCGGAGCUAAUACCGGAUAAUAUUUUGAACCGCAUGGUUCAAAAGUGAAAGACGGUCUUGCUGUCACUUAUAGAUGGAUCCGCGCUGCAUUAGCUAGUUGGUAAGGUAACGGCUUACCAAGGCAACGAUGCAUAGCCGACCUGAGAGGGUGAUCGGCCACACUGGAACUGAGACACGGUCCAGACUCCUACGGGAGGCAGCAGUAGGGAAUCUUCCGCAAUGGGCGAAAGCCUGACGGAGCAACGCCGCGUGAGUGAUGAAGGUCUUCGGAUCGUAAAACUCUGUUAUUAGGGAAGAACAUAUGUGUAAGUAACUGUGCACAUCUUGACGGUACCUAAUCAGAAAGCCACGGCUAACUACGUGCCAGCGGCCGCGGUAAUACGUAGGUGGCAAGCGUUAUCCGGAAUUAUUGGGCGUAAAGCGCGCGUAGGCGGUUUUUUAAGUCUGAUGUGAAAGCCCACGGCUCACCGUGGAGGGUCAUUGGAAACUGGAAAACUUGAGUGCAGAAGAGGAAAGUGGAAUUCCAUGUGUAGCGGUGAAAUGCGCAGAGAUAUGGAGGAACACCAGUGGCGAAGGCGACUUUCUGGUCUGUAACUGACGCUGAUGUGCGAAAGCGUGGGGAUCAAACAGGAUUAGAUACCCUGGUAGUCCACGCCGUAAACGAUGAGUGCUAAGUGUUAGGGGGUUUCCGCCCCUUAGUGCUGCAGCUAACGCAUUAAGCACUCCGCCUGGGGAGUACGACCGCAAGGUUGAAACUCAAAGGAAUUGACGGGGACCCGCACAAGCGGUGGAGCAUGUGGUUUAAUUCGAAGCAACGCGAAGAACCUUACCAAAUCUUGACAUCCUUUGACAACUCUAGAGAUAGAGCUUUCCCCUUCGGGGGACAAAGUGACAGGUGGUGCAUGGUUGUCGUCAGCUCGUGUCGUGAGAUGUUGGGUUAAGUCCCGCAACGAGCGCAACCCUUAAGCUUAGUUGCCAUCAUUAAGUUGGGCACUCUAAGUUGACUGCCGGUGACAAACCGGAGGAAGGUGGGGAUGACGUCAAAUCAUCAUGCCCCUUAUGAUUUGGGCUACACACGUGCUACAAUGGACAAUACAAAGGGCAGCGAAACCGCGAGGUCAAGCAAAUCCCAUAAAGUUGUUCUCAGUUCGGAUUGUAGUCUGCAACUCGACUACAUGAAGCUGGAAUCGCUAGUAAUCGUAGAUCAGCAUGCUACGGUGAAUACGUUCCCGGGUCU